rnacentral:rRNA from 1 species
AAUGAACGCUGGCGGUAGACUUAACACAUGCAAGUCGGACGGUAGCAGGAAAUAAGUUUACUUAUUUUGCUGACGAGUGGCGGACGGGUGAGUAACGCGUGGGAAUCUAUCCUAUAGUUGGGGACAACGUAUGGAAACGUACGCUAAUACCGAAUACGCUCUACGGAGUAAAGGAGCCCUCUUCAUGAAAGGUUUCGCUAUAGGAUGAGCCCGCGUAAGAUUAGCUAGUUGGUGAGGUAAUGGCUCACCAAGGCGACGAUCUUUAGCUGGUUUGAGAGGAUGAUCAGCCACACUGGGACUGAGACACGGCCCAGACUCCUACGGGAGGCAGCAGUGGGGAAUAUUGGACAAUGGACGAAAGUCUGAUCCAGCCAUACCGCGUGUGUGAAGAAGGCCUUCGGGUUGUAAAGCACCUUCAGUUGGGAGGAAGAUUAAGUAGUUAAUACCUGCUUAGUUUGACGUUACCUUCAGAAGAAGCACCGGCUAACUCUGU